UUUCUUGAUUAGUGGCGCACGGGUGAGUAAUGCAUAGAUAAUGUGCCCUUAGUUCGGGAUAGCCACUGGAAACGGUGAUUAAUACCGGAUACUCCUUCUUGUUAUAAGACAAGUCGGGAAAGUUUUUCGCUAAGGGAUCAGUCUAUGUUCCAUCAGCUUGUUGGUGAGGUAAUGGCUCACCAAGGCUAUGACGGAUAUCUGGUUUGAGAGGAUGAUCAGACACACUGGAACUGAGACACGGUCCAGACUCCUACGGGAGGCAGCAGUGAGGAAUAUUGCACAAUGGAGGGAACUCUGAUGCAGCAACGCCGCGUGGAGGAUGACGCAUUUCGGUGUGUAAACUCCUUUUAUUAGGGAAGAUAAUGACGGUACCUAAUGAAUAAGCACCGGCUAACUCCGUGCCAGCAGCCGCGGUAAUACGGAGGGUGCAAGCGUUACUCGGAAUCACUGGGCGUAAAGGGUGCGUAGGCUGGCUUUUAAGUCAGAUGUGAAAUCCAAUGGCUCAACCAUUGAACUGCAUUUGAAACUGAAAGCCUAGAGUUCAGAAGGGGCAGAUGGAAUUAGUGGUGUAGGGGUAAAAUCCGUAGAUAUCACUAGGAAUAUCAAAAGCGAAGGCGAUCUGCUGGGAUGAUA
rnacentral:rRNA from 1 species